rnacentral:misc_RNA from 1 species
CUCUAGGGCAUACUACUAACAGUUUCCUUGUCAGUUCAUAUUGAAAUGUGUGCUUCACUUUUUGAUGUGUGAUACUCAACAGAGUUCUUGUAGGUACUUGAUUAUUUUUUUGACACUCCGUAUUUCAUGUCUUGGAAAGGGGUGGUGCUGUCAUUGUUUUUUCAGGCAGUUGGCUUAAUGUAUUUUGUCAAUUAUCUUUUCUUCAAUUGUUUUUGGAAGUAUGGAUGGACUCAGGAAUUCUUUUCCUGUUUUCCUUAGAAAUUAAAUUGGUUAUCAUGCCAAACUUGUGUAGGAAGAUGCAUUAAAAUUUUGCCGCCUUCAUUCAAUUUUUUUUUUAUUUUUUUUUUUCAGAACUCAACAUCUAAACCCCAUGCAACUAAUUUUUCUGUUAUGUUCUAAUAUUUUAUUUGAUAAAACAACUUUCUUUUAUUGUAUUUUGUUUAUUCUGUCUCCAAGGUAAAUCUCUGCUUUAGGGUUUGACUAAAUUUUCCAUGCAGC